rnacentral:lncRNA from 1 species
GCAAAAACAGGGAUCUCAAGGUGGUCAAGAAGAACAUUCUGGAUAGCAAGCCCACUGCAAACAAGAAGUGCGACCUGAUCAGCAUCCCCAAGAAAACCACAGACACGGCCAGUGUGCAAAAUGAAGCCAAGUUGGAUGAGAUUUUAAAAGAGAUCAAAUCUAUAAAAGACACAAUCUGCAAUCAAGAUGAGCGUAUUUCCAAGUUAGAACAGCAGAUGGCAAAGAUAGCAGCCUGAAGGUCCCACCCCCACCCCUACAGAAAAAAUGGGAGCAAGAACUUGUGCUUGGGAGCUGGUUAUUGGUGUGGUCCUAGGGAGGGCGGAAAGGGAGGCACUGCCAUUUGGAGACAUUCCAUUUCAGAUUUGUCAACCAGCGAUAGGCCACAUUCCAGUAAGAACUCAAUUUGUCUCCCAAAUUUGCAGAAACAAAACGUGAUUUAAAAGCUGAGCUUUUUAUCAGAAAGCUUUUUUGAUGUUUUAAGUGUUAUGUGACUUGUUGAACUUUUUAAAAAGUGCUACUUUUAAAAUCCCAGAUACUCUGAAUUUUAGAAAACAAACUAAUUCUGAUUGUGUCGUGCCCAAGUACCCUUUUUUUUUUAAUGAAUAGGGACCAAUGCCACAUUGCUUUUUAUAUUUCUUUCUUUUUUAAUGUUGCCAAAACCAAAAGUAGCUUUGUUUUCCUUUGUAUUUUGCUACUUUGCAGUAUUUGUGUGUGUGGUUUUUUUUCCUUAAUUUGAAAGGGACAGCACUGUGUAUGUUUAUAAACUAAAUGAAGAUAAGAUAUUAUUUUGUAUAAACAUUCAUCUGAGAACAAUCAAAGCAGUAGCCACAUGGUGCUGGCUCCUUUGCAGCACAAACCUGGUCAUUUUGAUGACUGUACAACAGGAAGACUUGAAAAAUCACGUGGAUUCAUAUUACCACCGCUCUCAUUUCAUGGAGUCUUCUGAUCAAAAAAGCUCACGUCGUAUUUCUUCUUUUCCUUUCUCUUUUCUAGAAAUUGGGUGUUUGUACCAGAAUGGAAUUUUGCUUCUCGGUUAUCCUGUGCUUCAGAUGAUUAUAAUCUAAC